UACGGAGGGUGCGAGCGUUGUCCGGAAUCACUGGGCGUAAAGGGCGCGUAGGCGGCAUGCCAAGCGUGUGGUGAAAGCCCGGGGCUCAACCCCGGGUCGGCCGUGCGGACUGGCGUGCUCGAGCACUGUAGGGGCGGGUGGAAUUCCGGGUGUAGCGGUGGAAUGCGUAGAGAUGCGGAGGAACACCGAUGGCGAAGGCAGCCCCCUGGGUCGACACUGACGCUCAGGCACGAAAGCGUGGGGAGCAAACAGG
rnacentral:rRNA from 1 species